GCUGGGCAUGGUGGUGCAUGCCUGUAAUCCCAGCAGCUUGGGAGGUGAGACAGGAGGAUUGUGAGUUCAAAGCUAGCCUAAGCAAAAGUGAGGCACUAAGCAACUCAGUGAGACCUUGUCUCUA
rnacentral:sRNA from 1 species